rnacentral:rRNA from 1 species
CGUAGGGUGCGAGCGUUGUCCGGAAUUAUUGGGCGUAAAGGGCUCGUAGGCGGUUUGUCGCGUCGGGAGUGAAAACCAGGUGCUUAACACCUGGCUUGCUUUCGAUACGGGCAGACUAGAGGUAUGCAGGGGAGAACGGAAUUCCUGGUGUAGCGGUGAAAUGCGCAGAUAUCAGGAGGAACACCGGUGGCGAAGGCGGUUCUCUGGGCGUGACCUGACGCUGAGGAGCGAAAGUGUGGGGAGCGAACAGGAUUAGAUACCCUGGUAGUCCACACCGUAAACGUUGGGCGCUAGGUGUGGGGUCCAUUCCACGGAUUCCGUGCCGCAGCUAACGCAUUAAGCGCCCCGCCUGGGGAGUACGGCCGCAAGGCUA